rnacentral:rRNA from 1 species
CCCAGACUCCUACGGGAGGCAGCAGUGGGGAAUAUUGCACAAUGGGGGAAACCCUGAUGCAGCGACGCCGCGUGAGUGAAGAAGUAUUUCGGUAUGUAAAGCUCUAUCAGCAGGGAAGAAAAUGACGGUACCUGAUUAAGAAGCCCCGGCUAACUACGUGCCAGCAGCCGCGGUAAUACGUAGGGGGCAAGCGUUAUCCGGAUUUACUGGGUGUAAAGGGAGCGUAGACGGCAGCGCAAGUCUGAAGUGAAAUGCCGGGGCUUAACCCCGGAACUGCUUUGGAAACUGUGCAGCUAGAGUGCGGGAGAGGUAAGUGGAAUUCCUAGUGUAGCGGUGAAAUGCGUAGAUAUACGGAGGAACACCAGUGGCGAAGGCGGAGUGCUGGACAGUAACUGACGCUGAGGCGCGAAAGCGUGGGGAGCAAACAGGAUUAGAUACCCUCGUACAC